GACGAACCGUGCGAACGUUGUUCGGAUUCACUGGGCUUAAAGGGCGCGUAGGCGGCUUGCCAAGUCAGGGGUGAAAUCUUUCGGCUCAACCGGAAAAGUGCUUCUGAUACUGGCAGGCUGGAGGGAGGUAGGGGCAGAUGGAACUUCCGGUGGAGCGGUGAAAUGCAUUGAGAUCGGAAAGAACACCAACGGCGAAAGCACUCUGCUGGGCCGACACUGACACUGAGAGACGAAAGCUAGGGGAGCAAAUGGG
rnacentral:rRNA from 1 species